AUCCAAAAAUGCAUUUGCCGCGGCAGCGCUGUCUACCAAAUUGCGUGUAUUAAACCGAUAUGUUGUUGGCCAAGACACACAUGGCUAAAAUGUGUGUAAACAUUUAAGGCAAGCUCAACUGCCGAUUACGGCAUACGGCAACAACAACGAUUACUAUGAUGAAUCACUGGCGAGAAUUUGCGCUUUCGGCUUCACUGGCGUCCAAGUAAACAACGAUCAGCGUUAAAAAUAAACGCUAAAUUUAAUGCAAAUUGCUUAUUGUAUAAGCUUGCCGAAUACGCUUGCACUUACCAUACAUACGUACAUAUCUACACAGCGUUUGCAAUUUGCACAGUUAACAGUGUGAUCGAACUGUACAGAACAGAAUGUGCGCUGUGGUGGAUGCAAGAUCACUUUUUGGCUAAGGACAAUGUACCCAUAAAAUGUUAAAACUGACAGUAAACUCAUUUAUAUCCGAGCAAAUCUUGAACCAGACUUUUUCUUCAACUGGAACUGAUGUUUAAAUAUUUUAUGUUUGAACCAUUACAACAACGACACUAAAUUUUGUUUUUGUGUGAGAAAACGUUUCUGAAAUCAUAAAUUUUUCGGAUAAGUUGGAACUUUGACGCCUGUUAUCACUUAUAAUAUGCGAAGGCUUUGAAAUGCAUCAACUACAGUUAUACUUUUAUAAAGGCUUUAAUUUCCAGGAAAAAUUCAUUAACAACGAAAUCUAUGUCUAAUCUAUAUUUAAUCUAUAUUUAAUUUUUAUAUAAAACCAAAGCCAGUUAGCUCUAAAUUAUAUACACAUUUCUUGUCUUGGGUAAAAAUUCAAGCAUUAACAAAAAUAAAAAUUAAAAAAAAGCAAUUUUUAAUAAUUUUCGACUAAAAGCUCAUAACUUCUCUUUCCUUUUGUAUCAAAAAAUAUUUAAAUAUUUGCAAAACUAGUAGCGAAGUUCAGUAUAAAGCAAUAUUUUUUAUAUCUAUUAAGAUUUAUUUAGUGCGAAAAAAUUUUUGUAUGAAAAUAUAUGUAUUACUAAUACCUAAAAAUACCAAAGGGCACGUCUCCAAGACUAAUUUACCGGAAUUACAAAAAAACAAUACAAUAUGAAUGAAAUGUUUUAAAAUUUUGAACAUAAUUUAUAUAUAAUUAAUGAAUAUAUAUAAAAAAUACAUAAAACUUGAAAUCAUUAUAUACAGUUAGAAAGCCGAAAAAAGCGAAUUUUCCAAAUUUUUUU